rnacentral:antisense_RNA from 12 species
AAUAACCAAAUAUCACGCUCGGGCUAAGGGUCAAAUUGGUAAUUUUUCUUACAUCUCCUCCCCCGGGUGCCCAUGUAUCAUAUACGCCUCCAAAAUAAAGGGCCUUGAGUACUAGAAGAAAAGCACCUAUACCUAAUAAGAUUAGGUGAAUGCCCAAAAUUGUAGUCAUUUUAUUUCUAUCUUUCCA